rnacentral:rRNA from 1 species
UACGUAGGUAGCAAGCGUUGUCCGGAAUGACUGGGCGUAAAGGGUGCGUAGGCGGUUUAUCAAGUUAGCAGUGAAAUUCCGAGGCUUAACUUCGGCGCUACUGCUAAGACUGACGAACUUGAGUACAGGAGAGGUAAGUGGAAUUCCUAGUGUAGCGGUGGAAUGCGUAGAUAUUAGGAGGAACACCGGAGGCGAAAGCGACUUACUGGCCUGCAACUGACGCUGAGGCACGAAAGCGUGGGGAGCAAAC